GUCAACGGCCAUACCAUGCUGAACACACCGGUUCUCGUCCGAUCACCGAAGUUAAGCAGCAUCGGGCGUGGUUAGUACUUGGAUGGGUGACCGCU
rnacentral:rRNA from 1 species